UACGAAGGGGGCUAGCGUUGCUCGGAAUCACUGGGCGUAAAGGGUGCGUAGGCGGGUCUUUAAGUCAGGGGUGAAAUCCUGGAGCUCAACUCCAGAACUGCCUUUGAUACUGAAGAUCUUGAGUUCGGGAGAGGUGAGUGGAACUGCGAGUGUAGAGGUGAAAUUCGUAGAUAUUCGCAAGAACACCAGUGGCGAAGGCGGCUCACUGGCCCGAAACUGACGCUGAGGCACGAAAGCGUGGGGAGCAAACAGG
rnacentral:rRNA from 1 species